rnacentral:lncRNA from 1 species
GGUGGCAUUUGAUAUAUUAUUUUUCUGUUUUUUCUUCAAGCAUUUGUAAUGUUUUGGUUUCUUAGUGAAACAGGGAAAGCACUCCGUUAUUUAUAUAAGAAAGUGAUAGUACUGCUGUGUGUCUGUGGCUCUUCAAUGUCCUGAAUUUAACAGUUACAUGCACUGAUUAAUUAAAGGCCAAGCUUGAUGCAGUAGGAAUAUAGGAUAACAAACUUUUCUGAUGCAGUUGUUCUUUGCUAUGCUCCCAAGGAAAGCA